UGAGGAAUAUUGGUCAAUGGGCGCAAGCCUGAACCAGCCAUGCCGCGUGCAGGAAGAAGGCCCUAAGGGUUGUAAACUGCUUUUGUACGGGGGUAAUUUUGGUUACGUGUAAUCAAUUGAAAGUACUGUACGAAUAAGGAUCGGCUAACUCCGUGCCAGCAGCCGCGGUAAUACGGAGGAUCCAAGCGUUAUCCGGAUUUAUUGGGUUUAAAGGGUGCGUAGGCGGGUUUGUAAGUCAGUGGUGAAAUCGAGCAGCUUAACUGUUCCACUGCCAUUGAUACUGCAGAUCUUGAGUUCGUUUGAAGUGGGCGGAAUGUGUAGUGUAGCGGUGAAAUGCUUAGAUAUUACACAGAACACCAAUUGCGUAGGCAGCUCACUAAACCGAAACUGACGCUGAGGC
rnacentral:rRNA from 1 species